GAUGAAGAACGCAGCGAACUGCGAUAAGUAAUGUGAAUUGCAGAAUUCAGUGAAUCAUCGAGUCUUUGAACGCACAUUGCGCCCCCUGGCAUUCCGGGGGGCAUGCCUGUCCGAGCGUCAUUGCUGCCCUUCAAGCCCGGCUUGUGUGUUGGGUCGUCGUCCCCCCCGGGGGACGUGCCCGAAAGGCAGCGGCGGCACCGCGUCCGGUCCUCGAGCGUAUGGGGCUUUGUCACCCGCUCGAUUAGGGCCGGCCGGGCGCCAGCCGGCGUCUCCAACCUUCUAUUUUACCAGGUUGACCUCGGAUCAGGUAGGGAUACCCGCUGAACUUAAGCAUAUCAAUAAGCGGAGGA
rnacentral:misc_RNA from 1 species